AACGUAGGAGACAAACGUUAUCCGGAGUUACUGGGCGUAAAGGGCGUGUAGGUGGUUUCGUAAGUCUGGCGUGAAAUUUUUCGGCUUAACCGGGAAAGGUCGUCGGAUACUGCGGAGCUGGAGUACGGUAGGGGCAGAGGGAAUUUCCGGUGGAGCGGUGAAAUGCGUAGAGAUCGGGAAGAACACCAGCGGCGAAAGCGCUCUGCUGGGCCGACACUGACACUGAGAGACGAAAGCUAGGGGAGCGAAUGGG
rnacentral:rRNA from 1 species